rnacentral:telomerase_RNA from 14 species
CGGGUUGGGAGACCAUGCUUCACUAACCCUAAUGGUUUCUGCCGGGCUCUCCCCAUACCUGUCCGCUGUUUUGUCCGCUGAGUCUUAGACGACGGGGGGAGCCGCUUGGGGGGGAAGGGAGUUUGCCAUCCAGAGACGUCAGCGACAGGUCUCCCCACUCUAGGGCCACCGGAGGGGGUGCCAUGGAGGCUCCGCCGCAUCAUGAGGCCGCCGUCGGCCGGUUCGCCCCACUGCCGACGGGAAGAGUUCGUCUCUGUUAGCCUCGGCGGGUGCGGCUGAGAGCUUGCGCCCCCACACGGGAUACCCUAGCACAACAAAACGGAGUGGUUUUCUAGGGCCGGCAGCCGUGCUCUCAAGUGAGAUGUGCUGAAGGCGACGCUCCGUGACAGUU